rnacentral:rRNA from 1 species
GACCGGCUAACUACGUGCCAGCAGCCGCGGUAAUACGUAGGGUCCAAGCGUUAAUCGGAAUUACUGGGCGUAAAGCGUGCGCAGGCGGUUGUGCAAGACCGAUGUGAAAUCCCCGAGCUUAACUUGGGAAUUGCAUUGGUGACUGCACGGCUAGAGUGUGUCAGAGGGGGGUAGAAUUCCACGUGUAGCAGUGAAAUGCGUAGAGAUGUGGAGGAAUACCGAUGGCGAAGGCAGCCCC